rnacentral:miRNA from 14 species
AGGAUAGAGCUUUGGUCAUUGUAGGCAAGUGCUCUAACACUGAGCUACAGUGCCAGCUCUACCC